rnacentral:rRNA from 1 species
AGAACGAACGCUGGCGGCAUGCCUAACACAUGCAAGUCGAACGCUUUUGGGGCUUCGGUCCCAAAGGAGUGGCGCACGGGUGAGUAGCGCGUGGGAACCUGCCCUGUUGUGGGGGAUAACCGAGGGAAACUUCGGCUAAUACCGCAUACGCCCCGGAGCAAUCCGGGGGAAAGAUUUAUCGCAGCAGGAGGGGCCCGCGUCGGAUUAGGUAGUUGGUGGGGUAACGGCCCACCAAGCCUGUGAUCCGUAGCUGGUCUGAGAGGAUGAUCAGCCACACUGGGACUGAGACACGGCCCAGACUCCUACGGGAGGCAGCAGUGGGGAAUAUUGGACAAUGGGCGCAAGCCUGAUCCAGCAAUGCCGCGUGAGUGAUGAAGGCCUUAGGGUUGUAAAGCUCUUCGCCGCGACGAUGAUGACGGUAGCGGGAGAAGAAGCCCGGCUAACUUCGUGCCAGCAGCCGC